UGCCAGACUCCUACGGGAGGCAGCAGUGAGGAAUAUUGGUCAAUGGCCGAGAGGCUGAACCAGCCAAGUCGCGUGAGGGAAGACGGCCCUACGGGUUGUAAACCUCUUUUGUCGGGGAGCAAAAGACGCCACGCGUGGCGUUCCGAGAGUACCCGAAGAAAAAGCAUCGGCUAACUCCGUGCCAGCAGCCGCGGUAAUACGGAGGAUGCGAGCGUUAUCCGGAUUUAUUGGGUUUAAAGGGUGCGUAGGCGGAAUAUCAAGUCAGCGGUAAAAAUUCGGGGCUCAACCCCGUCGUGCCGUUGAAACUGAUGUUCUUGAGUGGGCGAGAAGUAUGCGGAAUGCGUGGUGUAGCGGUGAAAUGCAUAGAUAUCACGCAGAACUCCGAUUGCGAAGGCAGCAUACCGGCGCCCAACUGACGCUGAAGCACGAAAGCGUGGGUAUCGAACAGGAUUAGAUACCCUAGUA
rnacentral:rRNA from 1 species